rnacentral:rRNA from 1 species
UACAGAGGUGGCAAGCGUUGUUCGGAAUUACUGGGCGUAAAGGGCGCGUAGGCGGUCCGAUAAGUCCCGUGUGAAAUCCCUCGGCUCAACUGAGGAACCGCACGGGAAACUGCCGGGCUUGAGUUCGGGAGAGGGAAGCGGAAUUCCUGGUGUAGCGGUGAAAUGCGCAGAUAUCAGGAGGAACACCGGUGGCGAAGGCGGUUCUCUGGGCCUGUACUGACGCUGAGGAACGAAAGCGUGGGGAGCGAACAGG